rnacentral:lncRNA from 1 species
ACAAAAGAUCUUCCCUAGAAAAAGAAAAAAGAAAAAGGAAAAGCAUAUCUAGGAAAAGAUCUUUACUUGUAAUUAAUCCAACACGAAGAACAAGCAUGGCAUUGUUGUAACUUUCGUGAGCAAUUCUUGGGUUCAAGCCUUCAAAAAUACAUAAUUCUCUCUUUUCAACUUCCAUUUUUUUUUCAAGUUCACAUCAACUGAAAUACAAAAGUAAUUAACAACAAAAUGAAUCUAUCAAUAGCCAACAAAAUAGAUACCCUCAUUGGCUCAAUGAGGCCAGGAAUGUCGCCACCGAUUUGAAGUGGAGAGACUGAGAGGCUAGAUCCUCAAGAAAGGUGAAAUCUAAGAAGAAAAUUUUGAUAAAUCUAGGAGAUUACGAGAAAGAGAAAUAGACCAUGCACAAAGGACUGAAAUCGGAUAAGGAAAACCCAUCAUCAGCUGAUUUAAAUCACACAGGUCAUAUACUAUUUGCCUUAAAUAAGAUGAGACCGUUACUCCAAGUCUUUAGUCUUUCGAAGGAACAAAAUAUUUAAAUAAUAUAAAAAAUAUGCAAAAAACAGUACUCUAUCCUCUUCUAUUACGUUUUAGUAUUUCUAGUGUAUAAAAAAUCCAUUGCUGACUAUCCCAUACUUGCUAAUCCAAACUGCCCUAUAUCAAUUGUAAUUUUUUAGAGGAAAAAAAAAAAGCAAAAGAUAAAGCUAUAAUCUUCUUCAUUAAUUUGAUGAUAAUUUCUCUAAAUUUACUUGCAUGUAGAGAACACUAUGAACUUCAAGCCCAAUAUUAAAGAAGCAAAAAUACUUAUCCUUCCACUUGGGCUUUGACGGUAUCGAAUCCGUGGAAGUAACUUGUAUAUAGAGCAAGUGAGUAUCCAUUAGAUGACUAGUUAAAAUAGAUAAUUUUUGAUAAAAUUGAUUUUUUUACUUUGGUCAAAUAAAAAUAUCUAAAAGAAAAAUAAACAAUACAAUUAAAUUUGAAAAACAAAUAAUUAAUUAAAAAUUUAGCUGAAAGUAAUGAAAUUGAGGUGGUUGUAGUUAAUUAGAAAAAUAAUUCAUGUUAUGAUCUAUUGUUUUCCACUGAUUAGAAAAAUAAUUCAUGUUAUUAUCUAUUGUUUUCUACCAAUUCUUUCUUGUGAUUAAAUUAAUCUGUUUCGCACUUAAAUUAAUUCCUAAUUAACUAACAACACGCGUGUAAAUUUAAUUAGUCAACUAUAUUAAGAGAGAAGAACUCAAACUUAUCAAUAAAAAUAUGCAAUUUAUUUAAAUCAAAUCUACUAAUUUCUUAACAUAAAGAAAUAUGUUAAUUGCUACUUGUUAUUAACCCAAUUAAACAAUUAUAGAUUUAAUUGGAUUAGUUAGCAAUAUGUUAUCUUUCUAAAAGAUUUAAUAGGUCUCUUGAAUUAUUAAGAAAACAACAAUGGAGUUGGUGUUUCUCGAAAUUAAUAGAAAAUAGAAAUAAAAUGAAGAGAAUUGAAACACAUAACCUCACAAUUUGAAUAAAAUCUCAAUUUAAAUUAACUUUCAACUCAAAAUAAUUAUUUAACCUCUAAGAAUCAUAAUAAAAUUGUAAAAAACUAAAGAAAAGAAGAUGAGAAGAAGAAAAGAUGAAAGUGGAGAAGAAGAGCGGGGCAGCACCAUGAGAGGAGAGGGAGAGGAGAAAAUAUGAUAUCUAGGUUUAAUUUUAGGAGCAUUUAUAUAGGCAAAAAAAGAUAUAAUUUAAUAAUUUAAAAUAAACUCUACUACUGCUAUCUUAUCCAUAUCCUAUUGUGUUUGAUCCAACUUGAAACUGAUCUUAUUCUUGCUUAGGUGGCAAAAUCAGAAUGAGGUAGCAAUUUUUGAAAUCUGGUGUUAUCCAUCGCCUUGGGCUAUAAGCUUGCCCAAGACUGUAACCUCCCAAUCCAAAAAAUCUUCCAAUUCAGCCUCUUUUCAUUCAUUUUCUUAACUUCGCUCAAAAACUUGUCCAAAAUCAAAUUCAAAGUAAAACUUAAUUAUUUAUAUCAAAAUCAUAACAAAAUCAUGGAAUUUAAUAAGAAAAAAGUGGUGAAUUUUGCAACUCAUCAGAUUCCCCCACACUUGCUCCUUUGCACCUUUGCUUGUCCUCAAACAUAGAAAUUCAAAACAAUUAAAAAAAUUCCUAUCCUCAACUAAUCUGAAAUUUAAUUUAUCCAAAAUAAAGAAUCAAAUUGUUAUGCAAUAGGAUGAUAGCAGAAAUAGCUUAAUUUCACCAAAGUUUACUUCAACAAGUUUCAUGUUUAAAAAGUGUUUCUCAACAUAUAAAUUUGGUCCUCAAUUCAAUUUCAAGCACAUAAAAUACUAGAAUUCCAUAUAAUAUUGAACUGCCUUUUCGAAAGAAUAGAAUCUUAGGAACUCUUGACUAGACCAAUAAAAUUUAAAGAAUUUGGGGUUAUUAUUUUUUUAUACUUCCUACUAUAUCUUGCCUGAAACCGAUAAAGUAAACGUGAAACAAAUUGUUACUGAGUCACUUUUCCCAGGUAGAACAACCCUAUUUGUUUAUGUAAUCUCUAAACAAACAACCUCCCGAAGCCAAACCGUCUCUCCUUCUCCUACGAAUCUAAUCAGAAAUAGGGCAUAAAAACCUCUAGUAUGACUCUUAGUCUGGUUGACGUUCAAAUAUCUCUCCUUCUCAAAAGUUAGAUGAAUCACCAUAUUACCGUUUUGAGUUUGCCUUCCAAAAAAUAUGUGUUCCUCUAGUUCAAAAAUCUCCGACCUAUUUUUGUGCAACCAAAUUUAACACUUUAGAAAUGGAUGUUUUCUGACAUUGCUCUGAUCCACUCUCUUUAGACAUGUGAUGAUGUGUUUUAUAUGGACAAAAAUAAUAAAGGAAAAUGCCUUUACUUCUCUCUCCGAUUACCAUAAGUAAUCUAGGUAUUAAAGUUUCUCCUUAUAUUGACUUUCACAUAAUCUGCAGGUCUGAACAUCAAAGACUAAACAAUAUUUUACUAUUACUUAUUAUAUUUUUUAAUAUUUUUAUAUAUAAUAUAAUAAUAACAAAUAUAUUUAUUAAUAAAUUUGUAAUCAGACUUAUAAUCUGUUUAUAAAAUUAAAUAGCCACAAAAAGAUUCACAAACGAAUGUAUAACUCAGUUGUAAAAUUAAAUGGACACAUAAGAAUUUGCAAAUGAAAGUGUAGCCGUUUGUAAAAUUAAAAAGAUAUACACAAAUUUGCGAAUGGAUGUGUAAACUAUUUGUAAACUUAAAUGGAUAUAAACAAAUUCACAAACGUAUGUGUGAACCAUUUAUAAAUUUAAAUGGACACAAAAGGAUUUGCUACGGACUUAUAAUUCAUUUUUAAAAUUAAAUGUACACACACGAAUUUGCAAAUAAAAGUGUAACUAUUUGUAAAAUUAAAAAGACACAUGGAUUUACAAACGGACAUGUAACUGGUUUGUAAAAUUAAGAAAAAUUAACUAUUUAAUCUCUAUAAUAUGACAAAACUCACUAGUUGAUCCCUCUAUUUUGAAAAAUAUAUUAAAACAUUUCUGAUAUUUUAAAAAGAGAGAUAUAUCUAAUUACUAACAAGAAACUUCCUUUUAUAUUUGGUUUUGUAUGAGUAGCUCUAAAACUGACAUUUUGAUAAAUGCGAUUGCAAAAUCUUGUAACUGGUUGUUUCCGUAAUUUCUAAACAAACUACCUACUAAACCUAGCUAUCUCUCGUUUCCCUAUCAAUUUAAUCAGAAGUGGGGCAUAAGAACCUCUAAUAGAAUUCAUAGUCUAAUUGACAUUAAUCUAUCUCUCUAAUCUAUCUCUCUUUAAAGGGCCGCUUUGAGUUUGCCUUCCAAAAAAUAUAAAUGUUCCUUUGGUUCCAAAAACUCUACUAAACCACUCUAUUUCUCUACAACCAAAUUUAACACUUUCACAAAUUAAACAAUAUUUUACUGUUAUUUUUGUUUUAUC